CUCUCUCUGUCUCUCUCUCGCUUGUAAUCGGUGUGGACUCAAUUGUUUUAAUGAAAUUCUUUUUAAACAAAGAUGAAGAACUUCCAUCACCAUCACUGGAUCACUACUUUCUCUUCUACUUCUUGGAAUGUUCGCGUCCAGUUGGGGAUCAAGGUGCCUCCUCCUUGUACAUUUGUCUAUUCUUUACCCACCAAUGCAGACUUUAUAUUAUUAUUAUUAAUUAUUAUACAAAUCUUCUAUUCCCAUCUGAGGUAAACAUUAACUGAAAUGGGUCUCCAUUCUUAAAUUCUGUCCCAUUAUAAUAAACAUUGAAAAUAAAAUGGAGGACAAAAAAACCCCCGAUGCUUUCCAUAUGGAGUCUAUUCCUUUUUGUUUUUAACCAUAAUUAUUUAGCAUUAUUUGCCCCCCUGAAAUUUUUAAAAAUACGUAAUAACAUGAUACAAUCGUUAAUGCGGUAACUCGUUAAAAGUCGAAACUGACCAAUUCUGGCGUUAAGGUGAAAUUUAUAGGAGAACAUCUCACUACGUCAUGAGCGAUACAAUUACUGACCUCAGUGAUAGGUUUUAAUCCGGUAGAUUAGAGGUCGCCAACCACUUUUUUUUUUUAUCAACGAUCAAUUAAUUCAGGUCAAGACGCUCGUCCCCGUCACGUAACAUGUUUCCCCAGUCGAGCCCGUAAAGCUUCGGAGCAGAUACUUAAUGCUGCAGCUCAAACGUUCAAAGUGGUCAAGGACAUGCAGUCGAAGAUGUCAAGUCCUUCACAUUCAUAGAAAUCCAUGACGCAGCGCAACUCUGAGGCAUCUAAAAGAAGCCUGGACCGGACUGCGGCGACUGUCGGGAUUCUUGUGGCUUGCGCGGCCUCGGCUUCUUCCGUGCCGGGCCGCUGCAGCUUGGCGAACAUGCAAGCUGAUGCCUAUACUAAAGGUUUUUGUGGCUCCCAACGUGUCCAGGCACAACACAAAGAUCAGUGCUGAGCAGCAGAGUUUCCACCAAUGCAGACACAUUACUGGUGUGCAUGUGUGUGUGUGUGUGUGGGGGGGGGCACCAGAAUUUGUCCCAGAUUUUUCCCUCCUCUUCUAUUUCUCCAUCGUCGUCGUCUUCUGCAGCCUCUCUGACAGCCAGCUUUGAUGUGGCCUUUUCACUGUUGCGACCGCAGACGCAAGAGGAACCAGAUGAGCUCCAGGCUGCUUUGUGCCUUGUGGAAAAGAAAGAAAAAGUCCAUAAAAAGAGAAAGAAAAAGAGGGCAAGGAAUUAGGCGACAAACGCGUUUUCGAAGCAGGUAAACAAAUCAUCAAGGAACACGGAAGGGUCGCUGGAGGGAAAUCCGUCUUAAGAAAAUACAAAACAGAUGCGUCGUUGAUGUUCUUCUUACCAUCAACACUCCCAAACAGAAAAAUGCAUUUCAUCACACAAUUCUCACCAU